CCUACGGGUGGCAGCAGUGAGGAAUAUUGGUCAAUGGCCGGAAGGCUGAACCAGCCAUGCCGCGUGAAGGUCAGUGCCCUAUGGGCGUUAAACUUCUUUUGUGCGGGAGCAAUAAUGGUCACGUGUGGCCAGACGAGAGUACCGUACGAAUAAGCAUCGGCUAACUCCGUGCCAGCAGCCGCGGUAAUACGGGGGAUGCAAGCGUUAUCCGGAUUUACUGGGUGUAAAGGGCGUGCAGCCGGGAAGACAAGUCAGAUGUGAAAUCCCGCGGCUCAACCGCGGAACUGCAUUUGAAACUGUUUUUCUUGAGUACCGGAGAGGUCAUCGGAAUUCCUUGUGUAGCGGUGAAAUGCGUAGAUAUAAGGAAGAACACCAGUGGCGAAGGCGGAUGACUGGACGGCAACUGACGGUGAGGCGCGAAAGCGUGGGGAGCAAACAGGAUUAGAUACCCCUGUAGUC
rnacentral:rRNA from 1 species